AUGCCCAGUCCCUGAGUGGGAACUGAAGUAGGCUGAGGGAGGAGACCAACAAGUGCAUUGGCAACCCAGAAUCACAGAAUGGUCUGGGUUGGAAGGAACCUCUGGAGAUCAUCUAGUCCAACACCCCUACCAAAGGAGGGCCACCUGGAGCAGGUUACACAGGAACACAUCCAGAAACACAUUUUGAUCCAUCAUUCUUUGUCACCUGAUUGCUGUUGCUAACUGCCAUGGCUUUGUGAUUUGCUGCUUUUGGAUAUCAUAGAUCACUUGAGUCACAUACGAUUGUCAUAGUCCUGAUGAAGCACUGUAGAUUUUAUGAACCCUUCUCUCCUUGAGAAAUACAUUCAGGUAAAUUCAGAUUUUUAACAGCUACCUCUAAUUUAUAAUCUCUUCACAAUCUGGUAAAUAAAAGUUCUUCACAACACAAAGAGAAAUUUCAGCAGGUGCCGUCCCAAAACCAUUAUUAUCAUCACCAUUUCAUUACUGCAGUGGUAGUGUCUAAAGAUCAGAACACCACCGGAAAGCACCAAGCAGUUAAAUAACAACCAUAUCCCUACCUUAAAGAGCUUAUAUCUGUGCACAGCAGUACAAACAGGUAGUCAAACAUACAGAUUUUGUUUGCAUUUAAUGGAGAUAAAUGAAUGAGGAAACACAAGAAAACUAACGAUGAUGCUGGGGGAGGGGGGAAUGUUUCCACUGACACAAUCAAAUACAAUGUACUUCAUUCAAAUUGUCCAGCAGAGAAAACUUACACAUUCACUUGACUCACCCGAUGUGUGCUGAUUGCAGUAUUCUCCAUGUUGGUUUUGUUUUGCUGCAUUUAUCAGUCCUCAUCUUCAGGGUGCUUUUUCCUGCUUCGUCCCACCCCAGCACCAGAGAACCCACCCCCCUGCUGCAGUGAUGCACAAAGGAACCAGAGCUGCGGCCUGUAGCCUGGCCUGAAUUGGCUGGAUAGCUCCUUCUUUUUACCCAAGGAAUUGAAUAAAAUUGCAAACUAUUUCUACAAGGAACCAGAAUUGAGGGCUGUUAUUUUCCAAGUAUGUAAAUCA